rnacentral:rRNA from 2 species
GCUGUAAGUUUUCGAUGAAAUCUUUAGUACUCUGUAUGCCAAAUUGAAUGGCGGGACAAAGGGUCGCGAUCUCGCGAGGGUGAGCUAACUCCAAAAACCCGUCCUCAGUUCGGAUUGCAGGCUGCAACUCGCCUGCAUGAAGCAGGAAUCGCUAGUAAUCGCCGGUCAGCCAUACGGCGGUGAAU